UGCCAGCCGCCGCGGUAAGACGAACCGUCCAAACGUUAUUCGGAAUCACUGGGCUUAAAGGGUGCGUAGGCGGUACGGUAAGUUGGGUGUGAAAUCCCUCGGCUCAACCGAGGAACUGCGCCCAAAACUAUCGUGCUCGAGGGAGACAGAGGUGAGCGGAACUGAUGGUGGAGCGGUGAAAUGCGUUGAUAUCAUCAGGAACACCAGUUGCGAAGGCGGCUUACUGGGUCUCUUCUGACGCUGAGGCACGAAAGCUAGGGUAGCGAACGGGAUUAGAUA
rnacentral:rRNA from 1 species